UUUGAUGUAAAUUGAUUUAUGUUUGAAAACACUCAUUUAAAAGUGAUUCUUAUGUGUUGAUGUUGUUUGGGUAC
rnacentral:pre_miRNA from 1 species